rnacentral:rRNA from 1 species
GACGAACGCUGGCGGCGUGCUUAACACAUGCAAGUGGAGCGACGAACCCUUCGGGGGGCAAAGCCGCGAACGGGUGAGUAACACGUGGGUAACCUGCCCCGAUGACUGGGACAACCCGGGGAAACCCGGGCUAAUACCGGAUGAUGUGCACACACUUAAGUGUGUUCACUAAAGGUAGCUUCGGCUUCCGCAUUGGGAGGGGCCCGCGGCCCAUUAGCUUGUUGGUGAGGGGACGGCUCACCAAGGCAACGAUGGGUAGCUGGUCUGAGAGGACGAUCAGCCACACUGGGACUGAGACACGGCCCAGACUCCUACGGGAGGCAGCAGUGGGGAAUCUUGCGCAAUGCGCGAAAGCGUGACGCAGCAACGCCGCGUGAGGGAAGACGGCCUUCGGGUUGUAAACCUCUUUCAGUAGGGACGAAGGCCGGCCGGUGAAUAGCCGUGUCGGUUGACGGUACCUUCAGAAGAAGCUCCGGCUAACUACGUGCCAGCAGCCGCCGCGG